rnacentral:rRNA from 1 species
CCUACGGGUGGCAGCAGUGGGGGAUAUUGGACAAUGGGGGGAACCCUGAUCCAGCGACGCCGCGUGAGUGAAGAAGUAUUUCGGUAUGUAAAGCUCUGUCAGCAGGGAAGAAAGAAAUGACGGUACCUGCCCAAGAAGCCCCGGCUAACUACGUGCCAGCAGCCGCGGUAAUACGUAGGGGGCAAGCGUUAUCCGGAUUUACUGGGUGUAAAGGGAGCGUAGACGGCGAUGCAAGCCAGAUGUGAAAGCCCGGGGCUCAACCCCGGGACUGCAUUUGGAACUGUAUAGCUGGAGUGUCGGAGAGGCAGGCGGAAUUCGUAGUGUAGCGGUGAAAUGCGUAGAUAUUAGGAGGAACACCAGUGGCGAAGGCGGCCUGCUGGACGAUGACUGACGUUGAGGCUCGAAAGCGUGGGGAGCAAACAGGAUUAGAUACCCUGGUAGUC